CCUACGGGAGGCAGCAGUGGGGAAUAUUGCACAAUGGGGGAAACCCUGAUGCAGCGACGCCGCGUGAAGGAAGAAGUAUUUCGGUAUGUAAACUUCUAUCAGCAGGGAAGAAAAUGACGGUACCUGACUAAGAAGCCCCGGCUAAAUACGUGCCAGCAGCCGCGGUAAUACGUAGGGGGCAAGCGUUAUCCGGAUUUACUGGGGGGAAAGGGAGCGUAGGCGGUUUAGCAAGUCAGAAGUGAAAGCCCGGGGCCCAACUCCGGGACUGCUUUUGAAACUGUUGAACUAGAUUGCAGGAGAGGUAAGUGGAAUUCCUAGUGAAGCGGUGAAAUGCGUAGAUAUUAGGAGGAACACCAGUGGCGAAGGCGGCUUACUGGACUGUAAAUGACGCUGAGGCUCGAAAGCGUGGGGAGCAAACAGGAUUAGAUACCCGAGUAGUC
rnacentral:rRNA from 1 species